GACGAACGCUGGCGGCGUGCUUAACACAUGCAAGUCGAACGGUAAGGCCCUUCGGGGUACACGAGUGGCGAACGGGUGAGUAACACGUGGGUGAUCUGCCCUGCACUUCGGGAUAAGCCUGGGAAACUGGGUCUAAUACCGGAUAGGACCCUGGGAUGCAUGUCCUGGGGUGGAAAGCUUUUGCGGUGUGGGAUGGGCCCGCGGCCUAUCGGCUUGUUGGAGGGGUGAUGGCCUACCAAGGCGACGACGGGUAGCCGGCCUGAGAGGGUGACCGGCCACACUGGGACUGAGAUACGGCCCAGACUCCUACGGGAGGCAGCAGUGGGGAAUAUUGCACAAUGGGCGCAAGCCUGAUGCAGCGACGCCGCGUGAGGGAUGACGGCCUUCGGGUUGUAAACCUCUUUCAGCACCGACAAAGCGCAAGUGACGGUAGGUGUAGAAGAAGGACCGGCCAACUACGUGCCAGCCGCCGCGGUAA
rnacentral:rRNA from 1 species